UCUGCCCCCUAGAGGCAUUACCGAUAUGACUGCUGUGUCAUGUUUGGAAUUAGGUGGCAAAGAGAGAAAGGCUAUGUCUACGCCCAGUUAAUACAAAGGGCUAUCAGUGGCAGAAAACCAUUGGGUUUUUUUUAUAUUAUAGU